CAGGCCAGCACCUCAAAGGCAUAAAGGACAAGCUCAAUUUGGAGACCCAGAAGUUGAAUGGGGCAGACUCAUCAGUCAGUAGGUGUGCACACGUACUGUUCCACCAUGUUGCUGAAAUGCUGCCUCCUGCUGAGACGUUCCAUAUCAGCUGGUGGUGCUGGUUGUUGUGGCGUGCUGACAAAGAUUUUCCACAUUUCAGCCAUGCUAACCCUGCCUUCUGAGGUGCUGGCGGUGCCCCAGGUGCGUUGGCGACCUCUUCCUCCUCCUCUGCCUUAUGCUUCCACUGAGCCCCCGGUGUCAGUUGGGAAUGCCCUCAGCAGAGCGUCUACCAGCGUGCGCUUGUAGUCGCGCAUCUUCCGAUCACGCUCCAGUGAGGGAAUUAAGGAUGGCACGUUGUCUUUGUAACGGGGAUCCAGCAGGGUGGCCACCCAGUAAUCAGCACAAGUUAGAAUGUUGGCAACUCGGCAGUCAUUGCGCAGGCACUGCAGCAUGUAGUCGCUCAUGUGUGCCAGGCUGCCCCGAGGCAAGGACAAGCUGUCCUCUGUGGGAGGUGUAUUGUCUGUGUCCUCCGUAUCCCCCCAGCCAUGCUCCAGUGAUGCCCAUGAGCUGCGUUGGGUGCCACCCUGCUGUGAACACGGUUCCUCCUCCUCAUCCUCCUCAUCCUCCAGAACUGUGCCCUGGCUGGACAAUUGUGUACCUGGCCUAUGCUGGUGCAGGAACCCACCCUCCGAGCCACUUGUGAAUGACUGACCUGAUAACCGUGGAAAUGACCCCUCUUCCUCCUCCUCUUCCUUCUGUGCCACAUCCUCUUCCAUCAUCACCCGAAGCGUUUUUUCAAGGAGACAUAGAAGCAGGAUAGUAAGGCUGAGAACAGCGUCAUCGGCACUGGCCAUGUUGGUGGAGACCUUGAAACAGUGCAACAUGGCACACAGGUGUCGCAUGGAGGCCCACUCAUUGGUGGUGAAGUGGUGCUGUUUCGCAGAGCGACUUACCCGUGCGUACUGCAGCUGAAACUCCACUAUCGCCUGCUGCUGCUCGCACAGUCUCUCCAGCAUGUGCAAGGUGGAGUUCCACCUUGUGGGCACGUCGCAUAUGAGGCGGUGAGCGGGAAGGCCGAAGUUACGCUGCAGCGCAGACAGGCGAGCAGCAGCAGGGUGAGAACGCAGACGGCCCGCACUUUCUGUAGCAGCUCUGAUAUAUCUGGGUAGUUUUUCAGGACCACCAAAUUUCUGCACCACCAAAUUCAGCACAUGCACCAGGCAAGGGAUGUGCGUCAAACCGGCUAGGCCCAGAGCUGCUACGAGAUUUCACCCAUUAUCGCACACCACCAGGCCGGGCUUGAGGCUCAGUGGCAACAACCAUUCAUCGGUCUGUUGUUCCAUGCCCGUCCAUAGCUCCUGCACGGUGUGGGGUUUUUCCCCCAAACAUAUGAGUUUUAAAUCAGCCUGCUGUCGUUUCCCCCUGGCUGUGCUGAAGUUGGUGGUGAAGGUGUUACACUGACCGGAUGAGGAGGAAGCGGAGUAGGAGGAGGAGGCAACAAGAGGCAAAGAGAAAUGCCCUGCAAUCCUCAAUGGCGGAAGGACAUGCGCAAAACUGCUAUUCGCCUCAGGCCCAGCCGCCACUACAUUUGCCCAGUGUGCAGUUAGGGAGAUAUAGCGUCCCUGCCCGUGCUUACUGGUCCACGUAUCAGUGGUUAUUGCACAGUGCACACCUGAUUUUGUCCGCCAAUUGGUUGUGCAGGGAAGGGAUGGCUCACCUGGAAAAGUAGUGGCGACUGGGAACCACGUACUGUGGGACAGCCACCGCCAUCAGGCGUACUGUCUAGGGGACGCCCAUCCGCUUUUGCACCCUGCUCCCUCUUAUGCUGUGCUGGUGCCUCUGUGCGACCACCGCCUCUUCCUCCACACUAGACAGGUCACUCGCAUGACCUUGAUUCCAUGUGGGGUCUAGGACCUCAUCAUCCUCCACAUCAUCUUCCACCCACUCCUCAGCCCUGCCCUCCUUGCUGGUCUGCACACUGCAGAAAGGCACAGCAGUUGGCAUCUGUGUUUCAUCAUCAUCAGAGACAUGCUGCGGUGGUCCUCGCAUGUCCACAUCCUGAAACAUAAGUAGUUGUGCAUCAGUGCACUCAAUCUCUUCCACUUCUGGGGCAGGGCUAGGUGGAUGGCCCACAGAAACCCCGCCAGCAGAGUCAUCAAAAGGCAUAAGAGACUGCUGCAUGACUUGUGGCUCAGACUGCUUGGCUGAUUUGCAAGGGGGUGAGGUGAAAGACAGAUGGCCAUGGGCUGCAGGUGCCAACUUUGAGCUUUCAGCAGGGGGCCAGAUGAGAGACAAUGUGAAGGUACUGGAGGCACUGUCAGCCAUCCAAUCUACUAUCGCCUGUACUUGUUCUGGCCUCAACAUUCGUAGAGUGGCAUUCGGGCCUACCAAAUAAAACUGAAGGUUCUGUUGCCUAUUCGAGGAAGGUGUUUCACUUGUGCGUGUAGCUGGCACAGAUCGACCACAUCCUCUCCCUGCAACAGGAGCUCCACCAACACCAGCAGCACUACCACCAGGGCCACGUCCCUUAUUUGAAGCUCUCCUCAUUCUUUGUGUUCACCCACCAAACUAACAGAUGGUUUAAAUUUGAAUUUUUCAAAGUGCGAUGUAACCACAGUAUUUGACGGUUCUAUUUGACUCUCAGAUAUGAAGUGCACCGCAGGCCGCAAAUGUACUAUUUAGCGCCCAAAAAAAUAGAAUUUUUUAAAGUGUGAUGUAACCACAGUAUUUGACGGUUCUAUUUUACUCCAGAUAUGAAGUACACCGCAGGCCGCAAAUGUACUAUUUAUCACCCCAAAAAUUAGAAUUUUUCAAAGUGCGAUGUAACCACAGUAUUUGACGGUUCUAUUUGACUCUCAGAUAUGAAGUGCACGCCCCAAAUUUACUUUUUAGCACCCAAAAAAAUUGAAUUUUUCAAAGUGCGAUGUAACCACAGUAUUUGACGGUUCUAUUUGACUCUCAGAUAUGAAGUGUACGCCCCAAAUUUACUUUUUAGCAGCAAAGAAAUGUGAAUUUUUCAAAGUGCGAUAUAACCACAGUAUUUGACGGUUCUAUUUGACUCUCAGAUAUGAAGUACACGCCACAAAUGUACUUUUUAGCACCAAAAAAAAUUCAAAUUUUUCAAAGUGCAAUGUAACCACAGUAUUUGACGGUUCUAUUUGACUCUCAGAUAUGAAGUGCAUGCCCCAAAUUUAAUUUUUAGCAGCAAAGAAAUGUGAAUUUUUCAAAUUGCGAUGUAACCACAGUAUUUGACGGUUCUAUUUGACUCUCAGAUAUGAAGUGCAUGCCCCAAAUGUACUUUUUAGCACCCAAAAAAUUUGCAUUGGUCAAAGUGCGAUGUAACCACAGUAUUUGACGGCUCUGUGAAGUACACGCCAGAAAUUUACUUUUUAGCACCAAAAAAAUGUGAAUUUGUCAAACUGCAAUGUCACAGGAGUAUUCAAAAAAUGCCUAAAUGUUGCCCACUGAGCUACCAGAACAGGAUUAAAGUAAUGUGCCUGGCACACAUGCAGUUGCAAGUGCCCACCUAACAAACAGACUGAUUGCUUAUUUCUCUGUGGCACUGGGCUCAAGGCAGGGUACAAAAAUGUAGUAUAGCACCCACAAAAAUAAUCACUGUAGUUUGCAGAUUCAACACCAGAAUUCUUUCCUAAUCUGUCCCUCACAGCUGCAGCAUCCUCUCCCUACACUAAUAAGAGCUCAUGUGACUCCAGCUUAUAUAGAGGCUGGGUCACUUGCUGCACUGGCCAAUCACAGACAUGCCAUUAGUAUGGUCUGUGAUGGCUUCUAAGGGCACAUGAGUCAAACGCUUGUUGAUUGGCUGCCCUGCAGCUUUUCAAAACACACCAUUAAAUCGACAAACACCGAACUCGAAACCUGAACUGUUACUGAAAUGUCAGGGCUCAGGGUCAAAAAUUGUAAUGUUCGGUACAAACCUGAACUUUACAGUUUGGGUUCGCUCAUCUCUAAUUAUAAAUUACUUAUUGGCUUUCUUUUAUGUUAUAAUUUUUUAUUGUAUUUCACUAUAUACAUGUUUGCUGUUUUUCCCUAAAUUGUCAAAUUACCCCACUAGUUUUUUUUCCUACUUGAAAUAUUUUGGCCUCAUUUUAUCAAGUUAAUUGUCAUCACAUCAGCACAGCUAUUUAGCAAAUAAACCUCAGAGAUGUAUAUAAAAAUAUGUUUGGUCCUCUCAUUAAAUUCCUGCUAAUGAAAGUGAUGUCUCUUUCUGUGUGUUCUGAUGCUUGUCAGGGGCAAGUAACAUAAUACUUGAAGAUUAGAAGAAACACCUAUUAAAUAUUAAAGGUAACUUCAUAUAACCCCACAAAGAACUUUCUAGCACAGUUCAAAAUGGAUAUUGGACAGGUAGGUCUUCUAUAAGAACAAAUGAUAACUUUUAACAAUAUUAUAGAAAAAAUAUUUUUUGAUUAAUUGAUUCAAAUUGUGUAAUUAAUUCUGUAAUAUAUAAUGAAGAUGUUUCAGCUAUAUGAAAAUGAUUGUUUGCAAAAUACAAGUGUAUAUUCAUUGCUUGGAUAUGUAAUAGAUAGAAAAAAGCUGUUGUAUGCUCUGCUUAUAUUAUUAUAAUUAACAAUGUCUUUAUUUUGACCUUUUUAUUAGUCAUUAGCACCUCCAUACAGUUAAAAGUAACCUUUAACUUUUAUAGGACCAUGAUAUUUUGUGCAUCAUCAUACCUUUUGGUCUCUUAGAUCAAAUGCUACUGUGGAAAGUCAGUUUAUUUUUAGGAUUUGCAGAUUUAUAAUGUUCUGUCACAGUGGCAAUGUCACAAUGUCACCAUUAAAUAAAUGGAAUAUAGGAUCGUUAAAUUCAUCAUAUAGAGUUAAGGUUUAUUAAAGGGUUAAGUGAUCUUUGCAAUGAUUGUAUAAUUUUUGUUUAUAUUUUUUGUUUGUCGGUUGCUUUAUGUUGUUUAAUACUCAUACAUUUAUGGCAAGCCUGCAAAUAACACCUGUUAUUUAUUACAUGUCUGUAGGUUGUACUUUCCGUUGUGUGCUCUCCCUCUCUAAUAACUUCUGUAUACACAACAUAUUUUAUUUGUGUCUGUGUUUCUUUUUACGACCAAUUUAAAUAUUAGGAAUGAGAAAUUCCUAGUAUCAUAUGGUUAAUUUUAUGAGAAUCAUAUGUUUCAUAGUAAAAUAAUGCUGAAGAAGGAUCUGUAAUACAGUACUGUUGCAUUAAAAUGUUGUUACAGAUCAGAUAUUACAAUACGACUACAAAAUGUAACUUUUACAAGCCAACAAUAAUUUGAUGAUUUAAUAGAUGAG
rnacentral:lncRNA from 1 species